rnacentral:pre_miRNA from 1 species
UGUUUAAUAUAAGUAUGACCUGUGCAAUAUUUAGGAUAUACUUAUAUUAACC